GCCUUUUACGCAGUGGAGAGAGGAGUUUCCUUUGUUCUACUCAGAGAGGCUUGAAAGAGAUCAGAGAGAAUUAACCCGCAGACACGCACUCACUCUCGAUAUUAUUGGAGGACUUGCGGUCUGGGGCUGCAGGUGAUGACCAUUUCCAUGCCUCUGGGGUUGAAAAUAUCGCACAGUCGGAAGAAUUUAAAAGACAAGGGAAGGAAAACUGACAAUCAAAUUGAACUAGUGAAAACAAGUAUUUGAUCAGGAGCACUUGGGAUCUUGUACCCCGUUUUACAGUAGUUAACUGCCGCCGUUUAUCAAUCUGGAGUCAGGAUAAAUAUCACAACACUCCGGGCUUCAUUCCCCUUCUCCCCAGUUAAUAAGCAGAACGUCAGCAUUUCUGCUGUUCGUUUUGAGAAUAAUGUACGUUUGCGCAGGUUUGAAACUUGGGGCUGCAAAAGUUGCAUCGUGUUCCUUCGAGCAACAGUUAAUGCGCCAGAUUGGCAAUAAGGGUUCGCUUCUAAAUAUAGCUUCUCCACUCCAAAAAAAAGGGGAGGGGGCUUAAAAUGUUGAGUUAAUAUCUAGGAUGAAGAGAAUUCCACACCAUUCAUAUCGGCGGUGGACCACAAGUCGAGGGAAGCCCUCACCAGAACAUGCCUGGAUGAAGAACCGAUAUGGAUCUUUACAACUUCGAAGAGCCUAAUAAUAGUGGAUUUAUGUGCAUUUGUAGGCCCGCAAGCUGCAUGACAUUUUUUGAAGGGUUCAUCAUUUAAAUCUUGGGAACAAUGGCUGAAUCAAGAGAAAAUCAUGAAACAUCAAAUGUAGGAUAUAAUCAAACUUGAUUUCUCUGGCAAUUAUUUUUACAAAUUGGAUCUGGGAACUAUUUUUUAUGAAGAUAGUGGCAUUUGGAUAAAUUUAUUGAGCAGGAUUUGGGAGGAAUUUCAGGUGUGCCUAAUUCACUCCAGCAAAACUGAAGAAAACUAAUGACCUUGUGCAGCUACAUCAGCAAAAUAGCAGAAUGAAUUUGAAUUGAAGCACAGACAGGCUCUCCCAUCCAACUUGUAUGACAGGUGCUGUUGGUGUUUUCUGCUCUUUGUAUUUCGUCAUGAGGAUACAUCUCGUGGAUUGCAGCAAAUGACUGGAAACUGCACCCUGGGAUUCAUCCAAUAUUAUUAGUCUUGCCUAAGAUGUAAAGUGGAAGUGGGUAGAUGCAGGUGGGAAUCCAGACACUGAGUUGUUUCCAAACUAACUCCAGUACAAAACCAACUCCAGAGAAUGUUACAAUUGUCCAGAGGAAGGACAAAGGAAAGAGCACAGAAUUCGGAGUUGUCGUGUGGAACAUGUCUUGAAGACGGCCAUUUUCAGGCACUUACGUUUGUAUCAAAUAUUCAGUCUCGGGUUUGAAAUAAAUCUUAUCACACUUA